UGCGGAACACGUACAGAACCUUCCUUUGAGCGGGGAAUAGCCCAGAGAAAUUUGGAUUAAUACCCAUAGUAUAAUGAAGUGGCAUCACUUUAUUAUUAAAGAUUUAUCACUCGAAGAUGGCUGUGCGGCUGAUUAGGUAGUUGGCGGGGUAAAGGCCCACCAAGCCUGCGAUCAGUAACUGGUGUGAGAGCACGACCAGUCACACGGGCACUGAGACACGGGCCCGACUCCUACGGGAGGCAGCAGUAAGGAAUAUUGGUCAAUGGAGGCAACUCUGAACCAGCCAUGCCGCGUGGAGGAUGAAGGUCCUCUGGAUUGUAAACUUCUUUUAUAUGGGAACGAAAAAAGGUCUUUUCUAAGUCGUCUGACGGUACCAUAUGAAUAAGCACCGGCUAACUCCGUG
rnacentral:rRNA from 1 species